rnacentral:pre_miRNA from 1 species
AUCACCUGGGGAUCUUGUUAAAAUGCAGAUUAUGAUUCACUAGAUGUGAGUCUGGUCCUGAGAUUUUUGCAUUUCUGACAAGUUCCCAGGUGUUGCUGC